GCCUUCGUGGUGUAAUGGUCAGCACGCUCGCCGCAUAUUCGAGAAGUGCGUGGUUCGAGUCCCGGCAAGGGCA
rfam:Stegodyphus mimosarum contig73341, whole genome shotgun sequence.